rnacentral:rRNA from 1 species
AUUGAACGCUGGCGGCAUGCCUUACACAUGCAAGUCGAACGGUAGAGGGGGCAACCCCUUGAGAGUGGCGAACGGGUGAGUAAAGCAUCGGAACGUGCCCAGUAGUGGGGGAUAGCCCGGCGAAAGCCGGAUUAAUACCGCAUACGACCUACGGGUGAAAGGGGGGAGUCGCAAGACCUCUCGCUAUUGGAGCGGCCGAUGUCAGAUUAGGUAGUUGGUGGGGUAAGGCCUACCAAGCCGACGAUCUGUAGCUGGUCUGAGAGGACGACCAGCCACACUGGGACUGAGACACGGCCCAGACUCCUACGGGAGGCAGCAGUGGGGAAUUUUGGACAAUGGGCGCAAGCCUGAUCCAGCCAUGCCGCGUGCGGGAAGAAGGCCUCGGUUGUAACGACUUUGU